rnacentral:rRNA from 1 species
AAACCAACAGGGAUUGCCUCAGUAGCGGCGAGUGAAGCGGCAAAAGCUCAAAUUUGAAAUCUGGCGUCUUUGGCGUCCGAGUUGUAAUUUGAAGAAGGUAUCUUUGGGCCCGGCUCUUGUCUAUGUUCCUUGGAACAGGACGUCACAGAGGGUGAGAAUCCCGUGCGAUGAGAUGACCCGGGUCUGUGUAAAGUUCCUUCGACGAGUCGAGUUGUUUGGGAAUGCAGCUCUAAGUGGGUGGUAAAUUCCAUCUAAAGCUAAAUAUUGGCGAGAGACCGAUAGCGAACAAGUACAGUGAUGGAAAGAUGAAAAGAACUUUGAAAAGAGAGUGAAAAAGUACGUGAAAUUGUUGAAAGGGAAGGGCUUGAGAUCAGACUUGGUAUUUUGCAUGUUGCUCUCUCGGGGGCGGCCGCUGCGGUUUACCGGGCCAGCAUCGGUUUGGAGCGGCAGGAUAAUGGCGGAGGAAUGUGGCACGGCUUCUGCUGUGUGUUAUAGCCUCUGACGAUACUGCCAGCCUAGACCGAGGACUGCGGUUUUUUACCUAGGAUGUUGGCAUAAUGAUCUUAAGUCGC